UACACAACUUGGGUUAACAGUGGGCUGCUAAGUUUAUGGAAGGCUUUCCCACCCUUCACUAGCCCAGGCAUGGCAGCAGGUAAGGAAUGGUGGGGUGGACGAGUGAGCCCCAGGAGCUUGGGCAGUCUGUGAGGGGCUCCCCCUGGGAAAGUACCAUGAAAGGCCAGAGUGCUGGCUUUCUUUCCUCCAGACACUUCCUCCCCAGAACCUCCCCUAAUUACUACAACCAAGAAUGCAGUUUGAGCUUGGGCUGAGCUCUGGCUGACCGGAAGCUGUGGCCCCUCCCCCACACGUUACAACUGUGAGAGUAGUUUGAACUCCCUGCCCAUCAGCGUUUCACUGGGUCGCACACUGGUGACUCAGGUGGACUAUUUUGGAUUUGAUGAAGGUCAUUCAUAGAAAACAAAGGUAGAGAAUUAGAGCCAGUCUUCCAAUCCUGGCAAAGACAGGGCCUCACUCUGACACUGAAGCUAGAGUGCAGUGGCAUGAUUGCAGCUCACUGAAGCGUCAAAGUCCCCAGCUCAAGACAUCCUACCACCUCAGCCUCCUGAGUAGUUGGGACUACCCAGGCAUUCAGCACCAUGCCUGGCUAAAGAAGAAAUAAUUUAGCAUCUUGAGUUUCUUAACUUUUUUAUUUCUCAAAACUUCUCAUGUAAAUAAAAGAUCUUAUUACAAUAACCUUUUCAAUCUAAGGGCUACAGGAAAAAAUCUAUUUUUUCCAUUAAAUAUUUUUCCUUCUAUUAAAUUAAAGCACUAUAUAACUUAACACAUUGCCUUUAAUGCCUUGGCUACUGAAAAGUCUGGAAUAAAUGUAUGGUUGUGUUAUUUAGUUGUAGUCAUACUGUGUCUGAACUUUUAUUGUAAACUACUUUAAAUGUUUCUUGAAAUAGCUAAAAUAAUAAUUAAUUAAUUUUAAUCAGUUUGUGGGAAUUCUAAUUGUUCUCAGAGAGUCAAACACAGAAAAAUAUUGGUUCAAGCUUAAAUAAGUUCAUGUAGGUUUUCUUGUGUGUAAAACUUAUAAGAAAUAUAUUACAAUCAGCUCAAGAACUACAUAAAAAUCAGAAAGUCAGAGAAGAAACAAUUCAUGUAAAUUAAUUCAGAAUUUCUCUAAAUUUCUCUAAA